rnacentral:rRNA from 1 species
GACGAACGCUGGCGGCGUGCUUAACACAUGCAAGUCGAACGGAAAGGCCUCUUUCGGGGGGUACUCGAGUGGCGAACGGGUGAGUAACACGUGAGUAACCUGCCCUUGACUUUGGGAUAACUUCAGGAAACUGGGGCUAAUACCGGAUAGGAGCUCCUGCUGCAUGGUGGGGGUUGGAAAGUUUCGGCGGUUGGGGAUGGACUCGCGGCUUAUCAGCUUGUUGGUGGGGUAGUGGCUUACCAAGGCUUUGUCGGGUAGCCGGCCUGAGAGGGGGACCGGCCACAUUGGGACUGAGAUACGGCCCAGACUCCUACGGGAGGCAGCAGUGGGGAAUAUUGCACAAUGGGUGGAAGCCUGAUGCAGCAACGCCGUGUGCGGGAUGACGGCCUUCGGGUUGUAAACCGCUUUCGCUCAUGACGAAGCUUUGUGUGACGGUAGUGGGUAAAGAAGCACCGGCUAACUACGUG